GUGGACGCCAGUCUGCGUGGAGCCGACCUUGAAAUACCACCCUUUAAUGUUUGAUGUUCUAACGUGGACCCGUAAUCCGGGUUGCGGACAGUGUCUGGUGGGUAGUUUGACUGGGGCGGUCUCCUCCUAAAGAGUAACGGAGGAGCACGAAGGUUGGCUAAUCCUGGUCGGACAUCAGGAGGUUAGUGCAAUGGCAUAAGCCAGCUUGACUGCGAGCGUGACGGCGCGAGCAGGUGCGAAAGCAGGUCAUAGUGAUCCGGUGGUUCUGAAUGGAAGGGCCAUCGCUCAACGGAUAAAAGGUACUCCGGGGAUAACAGGCUGAUACCGCCCAAGAGUUCAUAUCGACGGCGGUGUUUGGCACCUCGAUGUCGGCUCAUCACAUCCUGGGGCUGAAGUAGGUCCCAAGGGUAUGGCUGUUCGCCAUUUAAAGUGGUACGCGAGCUGGGUUUAGAACGUCGUGAGACAGUUCGGUCCCUAUCUGCCGUGGGCGCUGGAGAACUGAGGGGGGCUGCUCCUAGUACGAGAGGACCGGAGUGGACGCAUCACUGGUGUUCGGGUUGUCAUGCCAAUGGCACUGCCCGGUAGCUAAAUGCGGAAGAGAUAAGUGCUGAAAGCAUCUAAGCACGAAACUUGCCCCGAGAUGAGUUCUCCCUGAGACUUUAAGUCUCCUGAAGGAACGUUGAAGACGACGACGUUGAUAGGCCGGGUGUGUAAGCGCAGCGAUGCGUUGAGCUAACCGGUACUAAUGAACCGUGAGGCUUAACCUUACAACGCCGAAG
rnacentral:rRNA from 1 species